rnacentral:rRNA from 1 species
AAGGAUCAUUACCUAGAGUUGUAGGCUUUGCCUGCUAUCUCUUACCCAUGUCUUUUGAGUACCUUACGUUUCCUCGGCGGGUCCGCCCGCCGACUGGACAAUUUAAACCACUUGCAGUUGCAAUCAGCGUCUGAAAAAACUUAAUAGUUACAACUUUCAACAACGGAUCUCUUGGUUCUGGCAUCGAUGAAGAACGCAGCGAAAUGCGAUAAGUAGUGUGAAUUGCAGAUUUCAGUGAAUCAUCGAGUCUUUGAACGCACAUUGCGCCUCUUGGUAUUCCUCGAGGCAUGCCUAUUCGAGCGUCGUUUCGUCCCUCAAGCGCGAGCUUGGUGUUGGGGACCGCCCCUGAGAUAUGGCGGCGGCCCUUGAAUCCAUCGGCGGUGCCGGUGCGGCCUGGAGCGCAGCAGCGAUGCGGCUCCCAGGCGGCGCCAGCCCAGCCGGACGACCCCACGAAACUUUCUGAACGUCGACCUCGAAUUAGGUAGGGAUACCCGCUGAACUUAAG